CACGUAGGGUGCGAGCGUUGUCCGGAAUUAUUGGGCGUAAAGAGCUCGUAGGCGGUGUGUCGCGUCGGCCGUGAAAACCUGCAGCUUAACUGUGGGCUUGCGGUCGAUACGGGCAUCACUGGAGUUCGGCAGGGGAGACUGGAAUUCCUGGUGUAGCGGUGAAAUGCGCAGAUAUCGGGAGGAACACCGGUGGCGAAGGCGGUUCUCUGGGCCUGUACUGACGCUGAGGAGCGAAAGCAUGGGGGAGCGAACAGG
rnacentral:rRNA from 1 species